AAAUUUAUUGCAUUUUCCAGCUGAUGAUUAACAAUUCACGAGCUAGAUUUUGUAGCACCUGAUUUUGAAUUCCAUCUCCACGAGAUAAAAACACCCUCAUGCCUCAUACAUUCAAAUUUACCGCUACUGUCCGCUGCAUUUAUCGUUGUUUUACCCAAUCUUCUUUGUGCAUUUUGCUAAUUUCAUGCCUUCGCUAGUGUUUAAUUUGAUGAUUUGCCAGCAUCUUCUCUCCACCUAACCUUUGAAGUGAGGGCAGUUAGUGGUGCUACAUUUGCUCGAAUCAUAUGGCUGAGAGACAUCCUGUAGCAAAAUCCUGAAUUGCAGAUGCAAUCACCUUCUUCAACGGAUGACAAGUGAUGGCGUUAGAGGCUACUUUGCUUCCCUGCAAGAGAGCUUCAGUUGAUAUUGAGAGACAUGCCAGAGAUUUCAUGGAAGAAGAGUUGAAAACAAAGACUGAGCUUAUAACCAAGCAGGAGAGACUAAUUCAAAAUUGGAGGAAGGAGUUGAAGGACCAAUUAGACAAACACAACAUUAUAUUGAAUUGGAAAGGGUGUAAACUACAAAGGAGUUUCUUCUUUUGCAAGGUCCAUUAUGUUGUUUUCUCUUGCUAUCAUCCCUUAGCUUUCUGUAUUGAAGACAAUGAGCUCACUACAAAGAUGACUUGUAGCUAGCUUUCUGUAUUUAUUUGUUUGGUCCAAGUACAUAGCAGCAAACGUUAAUCUUGUUUUUGAUUCCUAUUUUGAAAAAUGUAGAGAAGUUUUGUUAUGUUGUUAAUCGUAGGGGUUACUUAUUUUUUGUCAUUAGACUCAUCAGACACCAGUUUCACCUCCAAGAUCCGCUCAAUUUUACGAUGAUAAUUUAAUUCCUGAAUCUCAUUGUG